CCAUGAGAGUAUUAGUGGCAGACGGGUGAGUAUGCAUAGGAAUCUACCUAGUAGUAUAGGAUAGCCACUAGAAGUGGUGGGUAAUACUGUAUAAUCCCUGCGGGGGAAAGAUUUAUCGCUACAUGAUGAGCCUAUGUUAGAUUAGCUAGUUGGUGGGGUAAUGGCCUACCAAGGCAAUGAUCUAUAGCUGGUCUGAGAGGAUGAUCAGCCACACUGGAACUGAGACACGGUCCAGACUCCUACGGGAGGCAGCAGUGGGGAAUAUUGGACAAUGGGCGCAAGCCUGAUCCAGCUAUGCCGCGUGAGUGAGGAAGGCCUUAGGGUUGUAAAACUCUUUCAGUAGGGAAGAUAAUGACGGUACCUAUAA
rnacentral:rRNA from 1 species